rnacentral:rRNA from 1 species
UACGUAGGGUGCAAGCGUUAAUCGGAAUUACUGGGCGUAAAGCGUGCGCAGGCGGCUUUGCAAGCCAGAUGUGAAAUCCCCGGGCUUAACCUGGGAACUGCAUUUGUGACUGCAUGGCUGGAGUGCGGCAGAGGGGGAUGGAAUUCCGCGUGUAGCAGUGAAAUGCGUAGAUAUCAGAAGGAACAUCAGUGGCGAAGGCGGCUUUCUGGACCAAUACUGACGAUCAGGUGCGAAAGCGUGGGGAGCAAACAGG